CCGACCCUUCCCGAAACCCGACUUCGAAUGAAACAAUAACCCGAGUCCCGGACCUGUAUUCCCUAUGUCGUUUCGGGUUAUCUUCACUUCGGGUUUCCGGUCUAAUGUAAAUACCCGAGACUGAAACAUCAUGAAAAAAAAGUGCGGGGAAAUCGUGAGCCGUUCUGCACUUGUACAUCCGCAAUUCCAUCUUUCGUCUGCUGAUGAUAUCCUAUCCAAUUCAGCAUAUGACCGCAAUUCAUCCCUCAAUCAUAUGAAUAUAGGAUUGCAAUUGAUGUCCAUCCCCUAAAUUUAAGAUGCCGGAGCCAAGGUGGGUGAUCUCCAUGGGAAGUUGUGCCAAUGGCGGUGGAUACUACCCUUACUCAUACUCUGUUUUCUAUGUCUCUGGCUGCCCACUAACAACUUAGGCUCUUUUAUAAGGGCUUCUCCAGAUUCCAGCUGCAGUAAAAGAUCAAAAGGUGAGACUUGCCUGAUGCUAUGGGCCUGGCUUUUGGCAUAUGCUUUAUUUAUUUAUUUUUUUUACCGAAUAAGUUGUGCAUUUGCUCUUCCUGCAUAUGUGUACAUGUAGAUGAAGCAUUUAUGACUUGUGAGACAGCUCAAAAAUGUUUUUGCAUGUUAUAGUUAAAAAUGUAUGAUUAGGGUUUAGUUGCA